rnacentral:rRNA from 1 species
UACAGAGGUCUCAAGCGUUGUUCGGAUUCAUUGGGCGUAAAGGGUGCGUAGGCGGCGUGGUAAGUCGGAUGUGAAAUCUCGGAGCUUAACUCCGAAACUGCAUUCGAUACUGCCGUGCUUGAGGACUGGAGAGGAGACUGGAAUUUACGGUGUAGCGGUGAAAUGCGUAGAUAUCGUAAGGAAGACCAGUGGCGAAGGCGGGUCUCUGGACAGUUCCUGACACUGAGACACGGAAAGGCCAGGGGAGCAAACGGG